rnacentral:lncRNA from 13 species
GGAAGAGUUCCAGAGCUGGGGGAGCAGGGCCUAGGGCCUCCCUUCUCUGGGGGGGGGGGCAGUGAGCAGGACAUGAAGGCGAUGGUGGUCUGAGUCAGCUAAUGCAGGAGGCCCAAAAGGCAGGGUGGGAUUUCCCAAAUGAUCCACUUAUUCAUGGCACACCUUGUUCCCUGAAAUGACGGAAAGGCUGUAAACGGAGGCAGUUGGGACAUGUGCACUCACUGGGUUUUUGGAAAGCCCAGCCCUCUGCUUUCCCUGCAGAGCAGGAAGGUUGAAAAAGGAAGGAAGGCCUGGCAGAAUUAAAGGUGAGUGGCAUCGUCCCAGACACAGUGGCUUUCCCUGCUGGGGCUAUACAGCACAGUGUGACAAAUGCAUGUCAUACAGACCAAAGGUUCCUUUCUCUUUUUCUCUCCUGUGCUCCAGGUAAACCUUAAUGGCUGGUCACGAGCGUUUACUAUGAACAGAGCACUAUGGACGCACCUUGCCAACCUGUGUCAGGUUCAUCAAUCCUGGAGAUAACCCUCUCAAGCCUAUUUUUUUCUUUCAGCCGAGAGGCUGCCCCAGAGAGCUCAAGGUGACCUGUCUGAUGUCACCUGAAUCCUUUGUAAGGGCCAAAGAGGGUGCACAUGGAUUCAGACUUAGAGAGAGGGACUCCACUGGGGAGGUCACCUAUGAAAAUAACACAAGAUAGAUGGAGACCUAGGGCCAGAGGACCUAGGACAGAAGGGCCACCAGGCUGAGACUGGCAAAGCUCGGUGUCUCCAUGACCUGGAAGCCUGGGUGGGCAAUGACUGAGGUUCCAGAGCAGGAAGCUGCGUCUCAGGACAUGAAGUGGGUGAGAGCCUCCCAACUCCAUCCCCUAAAUGGGUCAGGCCCAGAAGCUCUCAAGGACCAAAAGGCCAUAGGAAAAGGUGGUGGACGAGGGGAUCAAGAACAGUCAAUGCCACAUGCAGUGGGCAGCAGACAAGCAGGGUGGCUGCCAAGACGCACGACUGUUGGCGAGAGCAUUGGCUGCUCACAGCAUGUGCUGCAGAAUCUUCCCACUCCGCUGGGAGAGCAGCAGAUGUCCCAGAGGCCACUAAGCUCCCGGGCCUGAGGUCCACACAGGCGCUGCAGGAGGCCUGGACUGCAGGACAGCGGAGAGCGGGGCUGCACAGAGCUCUGAGCCAGUUCACAGCACAAGGGGCCGUGGGCCUUCUAGCACUUACUGCACCUAUCCCUGUCCACUCAGACCUAGGAAGCCUUGAGUGAGAGGGUCCUUAGAUGAGUCCCAAAAUGCCCAGGCUGAAACACAUUUAGGGUCUGGUUCUCCACACUGCUGCCUCCGAAGACCUGAAUAAAGCCCCAAAUACAACCCGCA